rnacentral:lncRNA from 1 species
CAGCGUGCAGGGCUCUCGGCCCCGCCGCCCCCCACAGGGGUCCCCGGGCCUCGGGGUCCCCGGGCCUCACGGCCCCACUCCCAGGGACCAGCGCCGAGAAACGCCGGGGGGACGGCCGCACCCCCCCCAGCCCCUCACCCACCACGACAACCGGCGGAGGACGCAGCCCGCUCAGCCGCUAACGGGAAGGAGAUCAGGGCCUGCUCCCUCACCCCCUCCAGCCAGGCUACUCCCUGGGCCACGCCGUGCCCCCGGGCCUGGCCGCCUCAUAGCUGCCGGGCCAGGCCGGAUGGGCCGCCCCAACUCACCCGCUCCAGCGCCGGCCGCGCUCCCUUUGUUCCCCACCAGGCCGGGGCGGCGGCGAGGACGGCGCCUGCGCGCCCUGUUCCGCACUUUCGACACGUCGCCCCCGCCCUGCCGGCAGCUGGUUUCUCUUUUCGGGGGAAGGCGGCUCGCCCGCCCCGCUGCCCCUCGGGCCCCCGCUGGGCAGGGGCCUUCCCCGUAGCCUCCGGGGCCGGUGGGGCUGGAAGGGCUUGUGGCGAAUCUGCGGGAUGCUGGGGGCAAAGGCGAUCCGGGCGCGGGGUGCGGCCCCCGUCGUUACCGGGAAGGCGGUACCGCCUCACCCGGGCGGGGCGUCUUACCGGUGGUCCCGAGGCACGGGGCGGGCUCUGCCGCAGGCUCGCGGUCUCCAGCACCGCGCUUGUCCCCUUCGCGACAGUCAGGGGAAGGCGCGGGCGGGAAGCUGCCCCCCUUCACGUUCUUGUCAGCUCAGCCGAGCCACCUCCCCGCGGGGCAGCCCCCCCAGUCCCCAUCCCCCCGGUGUUGGCGGGACCGGGAGAGGCGGCGGCGCCGUGUCCCGGUGGCGAAUCUGCGGCGCAGAGCGGGGAGGGGGGGGCGGCGGCGGCGCCUCACGCCCGCAGGUUUGGCGCCUUUUUCCCCUCAGAGGGAGCACGCGGCGCCCUGAGGCGCCCGGGCUGCACAGGGGCGGCUGGAGAAACGCUGCGGUGUAAUGUGCGACUAACCCCGUAA